AGAAGAAAAACCAAACAGAGGUGAAUUUUUGUUAAAAAUUUUAUUGGGUUAACCCUUCUUUAA
rnacentral:tRNA from 1 species